UUUUAUAUAGUGCUUCAUCGUUACAGCAUCUGAAAGACAGUCAGAGGUUUUACUUUUAUUUAAAGGGUAAUUUAAACAAAAAGAAAUACACAUGAUACUCCCCAAGUUCAGUCACGACUUGAUUUAUUGCUUCCAAUUGAUUCAGUUGUUUUCUCAGAAGUGAAUGCAUGGUGUUAGCUUGUUUUAGAAAAGGGGGAAAAGUCUUUUAUUUCUCAACAGAAGCUAUUUUUAGAUUCUGCCCAAGUUACAGACAUUAUAUCUGCAGAUCAGGCCUGCUCUUUAUUCUUCAUCAGGUUACCAUCUUGCCUAUCUCAGUGGAAGGGCAUGGAGAGGAGGGAGAUUAGAUGCAUUUUGUGCAACACUUCGAAAAUAAAAAUUGCAAUAAAUUCUAAUUUAUUAACAUGAGAUUAACUCAGCAGGGACUAACACACAAUCAAUACUUGCUUACCUUAUCUACAUCACAUCUGUGUUACAAUGAACAAGUCUAAGACUAAAACAAAAAAAAGUUCUCUAGCAACUGAAAAAAAGGGUUUCCACUUUAAUGUACACAAUAAUACCCCUACGCUGUACUAAAGAAUUCAGUGCCCACAAAACACAAGCUCAUCAAAACCUUUUGUUUUCUUCCUACAGCUUGGAGACAAAUAUCAAAUAGCUAAGAGCUGGAAGAGCAUUCUGGGUAUUGGCAUGCAAAUGAACAUACCAAGCAUCCCACUUUGCUUAAGAAUUCCCAUGUCUGAAAAAAGUAGACAUUUAUCAAACAACUUGUCCUCAGGCAGCCUUAACAGCUGUACCAUUUUUAUAGAAUAUUUUUAACAUUUUAUUUCUUUUUGUUUUUUGUUUCAGUUCUUCAAUCCAGGUCACUAAAAAAACAAAGUUAGAAAGAAAUAGUUGCUGCAUUUGCCAUGGAAAGAAACAGUUGCUCUAUUUACUAUGGAAUCUCUAAUAUGUAUGCGAAUGGAAAACUGUGCAGAACUAAUAACCCCCUCUAAAAAUACAGGAAUUGAUAGGGAAGCUGUGCUACGCAGAUUAGGCUAAAAGGAUCCCCAAAAGAGGCUGGUACAAGUGGGUGGCCUGGCAUUUCAUUAGGUCUGUAACGUCCAGCAUGGUCUAGUGCCUAUCACAGUAAACUUUACUUCUGAAUCAAACACCAAAAAUCUAGAACCCCAAAUCACUGCUGCAAGGGGCCAGAAAGCAGCAGACACAAUAAGGAUUCUCUGUGCAAUGUAGGACUUGCAUAACAGCCCUAUCCCUAUCUUAUGGUUCCAGGGCGAGCUGUAUCUUUGAGACCUCAGGCCUCGUCUACUACACUACAAAGUUAGGCUGAUGUACGUUGUCUUGCAUUGACCUUAUUUGUGCAUAUGUCUGCUCUAAAGCUUGUUGUAAAUGCCCCAUUACAAUGAUAUAGUAAAAUCACCUCCCUAAAGGGUUAGAGUCACAGUCAACCUACUGAGGUCAUUACAGUGCAAGUGGGAUUCAACCCUAACAGUCUUCCAGCUGUUGUCCCACAAUGCCUAUUCGCUGGGAUAGUGACUGCUCUGGUUACAAUUGAAAACUCCAUUGUCCAAGAGUCAUAGAGACGGGAAGCCAUGCCACUAAAAACGUCCCAUGCAUUUUUGAAAUGUCUUUUCUUGAUUGCCAUCUUGGCAAGUACACCUAGCAGUUCUCCCUUGUUGUGUGCAACUGCCCAACUGACCAUGCCAACUCCACACACUUGCAGUGCUCCUGCCUGGAGAACACAGGAGAUAUAUUGGCCUGUGGGGAGAAGAGGCUGUGGAAGCACAGUUAUGGACCAGCUGUAGAAAGGUGGGCAUCUAGGAAAAGAUUGCACAGGGGAUGUACAUCAAGGGUUACAACAGGGAUUAUCAGCUGUGCUGCAUGAAAGUGAAGGAACUGCAGCAGGCAUUCCACAAGGCCAGGGAGGUCAACAAUAGAUCUAAUGCUGAGUACACGAUUACUACCUUUACAACAAGCGGCAUACUAUUCUCAGCAGAGACCACACCAGCACCCCCCAAACUACUGUGGAUUCCCUGGAGGACCACAAGACAGAGACCCCUGCUAAACAGCAAGGAGGAGGAGAAGAGGUGGCAGACAUGGGGACUCAAGCCAUGCCAUGAGCCAAGACCUGUUUGAUAGUCCUCAACAGUCUAACCAGCCAAACGUGGAUGAGACCGAUAAAGGGGAAGGGACCUUUGGUAACUGUGUACAGUACAUACAAUUUUCCUUAGCAAAUUAUAAUUUAAAGAUGGUGCCUGGCCCAUCCCCAAGUUAACAAGCCGUGGUAUCGGCUUUCAAUUGUUUUGCUCAU